rnacentral:rRNA from 1 species
ACGCUCGACACCUACGGGAGACAGCAGUGGGGAAUAUUGCACAAUGGGGGAAACCCUGAUGCAGCGACGCCGCGUGGAGGAAGAAGGUCUUCGGAUUGUAAACUCCUGUUGUUGGGGAAAAAGAGGAUGGUACCCAACAAGGAAGUGACGGCUAACUACGUGCCAGCAGCCACGGUAAUCUGAGCGGGCUGGCAAGGC